GUGUUCAUUGAAAGGAGAGUCAGUUGGCAUCUCCCCUGCCAGGGACAAAACAGCCUUUGGGCCUACCUGCAACACAUACAGUUAAGACUACCCACUUCGGUGGAUAGUUACCCAAUUUU